rnacentral:misc_RNA from 1 species
CUUCAACUAUCGUCUUGUGUGACUGCGCCCAGGCAGAACUUUUCAGAUUAUCAUAUCGCCCAAUCUACUGAUACCAUGGCAACCCACGUUUCAGAUGUCGGUCUGGUUCAAAAUGCUGCCAAGGUUACUAACACCUUUGCAUCUAAUCUCUUCCGAGUGUUGACUGAGGGAGG